ensembl:lncRNA
AGCACACCAUGGGCCCAGUGAGAUGAGAAUUGUUUCCUGUAAUCUUCCCAAUGAGCCUCUAAGGUUUUCUAGGUUUUGCUUGUAAAUCAAGAAGAGGCAGUAGAUACAGUCAUGGAAAAAGGCAGAAGAAAACAGACAAAUCAGUUUUCAGUAACCAUGGGCUCUGAUCCUUUCUUGACCAUGAAAGUGAAGUGUUCAACAUAUACCUGCCAAAAAGCUUAUGAGGAUAUGGGCUCGUAAAGGGAUGUAAGCAGCAACAACCAGACGUGCAGCAACAACGACACGGGCUACACAGUGUUCUGGGAAAGACUGAAGGCAGGAGGUGAAGGGGACAUCGGAGGAUGCGACGGUCGGAUGGCACCACUGACUCAAUGGACAUGAGUUUGAGCAACCUCUGGGAGUUGGUGAUGGACAGGGAAGCCUGGCGUGCUGCAAUCCAUGGGGCUGCAAAGAGUCAGACACAACUGAGCAACUGAACUGAACACAGUAUUCUUAAAAGCUUAAUCAGUUGUUGACACUCAACAACCAGGGUACUGUACAUAAAUGUUUGGCUCCAGUGUGACCACACUGGGUCC